rnacentral:lncRNA from 1 species
AUAAUUUUUCAUAAGAAUUUGAUGCAUGUUUGAAAUAGAUAUAAAUAUCUUUUUACUUGAUGAUGAAGUUUAUGGUUACUAAGUCUACCUGAAACAUGCUCUAGGAUGCAAACUAUGGAAGCAUUCAAUGAUACAGUUUAAGGUUUUUGUAUAUUUCUCCCAUAAAUAUGCUUUACCUUGGAAGAUAGAAGUUGGGUUUAUCUUCAUUGACAUUUCUUCCUUAUAUAGGAAAAGAAUCUCCAUGACCUCCUUGCCUUUGAAUUCUUCUUAAACUUGUGAGUGCUAUAUAUUGUUGCAUCAAGUGAUUUUUAUUUUUUUCCGAGUUCCUGUGCUUGGUACGAAACCGAUGAACGAAUAGAAAUUAAAAAUUCAAAAAUCUGUCAGCAGAGAGUAAUAAUUAUUUUGUUUAGGACUCUUUUCUAAUUCUCAUCAUGAGGAGAGUGGCACUCUUUCAAUGCCUUAGGCUGCAGCUUUUGAAAUUUUCAAUUAUGCUUGAUGAAAGCCUUUUAGAACUAGUGUUUUCCCAUUACACCCAUUUGGAAUUUUGUUAAACGUAUUAUGGAUGCCUUUUUAUGUUAAGGGUCUAUACAUCUUUUUCAUUCACUACAUAAUAGGAUUGGAGGCUUUGAGCCAAGCCUACUGCUUGUUACUUCAAUUUUGUCUAACUAACGUUUCAUUUUUCCUGUGGCGUGAUAUCAAUCUGUUGGCUGAUAGCUGGUUUGGAAUAUACAUUGCCUGAGCAACAUCAAUGAUGAAGUGUUUGAUGGAACCACAACUCUUUAUGGUCCAUUGAAUGAGUCUGUGUUGGUUAGGCAAAUUUAUUCAAUUGGCAUUUCGACUACUGUUCUCAGCUUAUAGUCAUGCAAGACUAAAAAUUCGUCUUUCGGUCUACUCACUAUCACUAUUGCUAUGAAACAUCAUUCUUAAACUGUUAGGCUUAAAAUUUUUUAACUUAUCCCAUGAAAUACCGACAUCAUAGAGUGUCAGCUCAUAGAGUUUCUAAUGUUCCUGUCCAACUACCAGGUGCCAUUCAGUGUUCACAAUGCAAAGGUGAUGGAGUUAACUCUGUAGACCACUUCAAUGGACAGUUUAAAGCUGGUGGAUUAUGUUGGCUUUGCAGGUAACAAGAUCAAAUUGUUUUUAUUUUAGUGCAUUAUACUGUGUUUUAAGCUAAAACUACAGCAAUAUAACAUGAUGUAUAUCUACAGUAAUAUAACCUCCACUCCCCAACUCCCUCUCUUCCCAUUGGUUCCCCUGCUUUCAAGCUUUUGUAUUUUGUUUGAAACAAAUAGAGCCCCAGUGUCAGUGUUUUGUUAUUGAUAUUUGAAACCUUUAAACUAUUCACUUAGGUAGGGUUGCCCCAUGGACCAUGCCUUAUCAAUCUAAGCACAUGCUAGAUUCCUUUGGACAACUUCACAUUUCAAAAUCGCUAUCCUGCUCUUUAGAUGGAAUGAAAUUCAUAUAUACAUGUAUAGAAUACGUGUUGUUGACAACUUCAAUGCUCCUCUUAUAUAUCAGUCUCUUCUUUUCACCCAUGCGUUUCCACCGUCCCUUGUGCAAGCCAUGGAGAGUGGUUGAUAUAGAUAUCUCAUCUGUGUACCCAUUACCUGAUUCUCACCUAAAAUUCUUGUUCCUUGCAGAGGCAGAAGGGAGAUUUUAUGUGGGGAUUGCAAUGGAGCAGGCUUUAUUGGAGGAUUCAUGAGCACAUUUGAUGAGUAGUUAGUUCUAUGGAACUGGAAGUUGAAUAUGUUGCAGUGGUCAGGAGGAGUGAGCAUGUGGGUCAAUUUGUGUUCAGCCUUGAGUGGUGUGUCAUGGAUGAAUCUGACAUUUUCUUAGCUUGAAAUGUGAUACUUUUCUUCAUGGAGCUAGAUUCUUGCGGAAUUUUUAUAAAGAGCAAACAUGGUUUGUCUAUUUUCUUCGUAACCUCCUAAUUAUGGUUUUAAGUUGUCUAGGCGCGCCAGGUAAGGGUCGAACCUACGACUUUCUGCUAUUACAACUAUUUUCAAACCACUUGCUAUUAGAAAAUUUUCUUUCUAAAAAUACCAAUAAAGUUGUCCUUGUAUGUUUUAAUUUCAAGUUAGCAUACGUGUCUCCCAAUAUGUUGUAAGGGAUUAUACAACCAAUACUAUUACACUUCUAAAGCACGUUUAUUAAUUUCAUAAUUUAAUUUAAAUUAUUAAUUAUAUUAAAUAUAUUUAAUGAAAUAACUUAAUAUGUCGAUAAUGAAUCAAAAUAGUCUUAUGACCUCGGUACUUUAACAUGAAAGGAAAGUAAAUAUGUUAAUCCACUAAUUUAGAAGGAAAAAAAAAGUACAUAAGGAAAUUUUAUCAAGCAGUCUUACUAUUUAAAAUAAAAAUUAUAUAAUAAAUUCUAAAUUACGAACUUAAUAAAUUAAUAGGUAUUAAAUUUUAUGAAAAGACUACGUUGAAAAAGGAUCAAUCAGUUCAAAAAUAUAAUAUUAAAUGCAAAAUAUUUUAAUUUAUUUGCAUAUUUUAUUUUCUAUAAAUCCAAUAUAUAUUUAAUUCAAAUUAGUAUAAAAUUUAUUCAAUUUCAAGUCAACAUGUGUAAGAAAAAAUCACCCAAAAUAUAAGAAAUUACACGGAAGAUACUUUCUUAAAUAAAAUAUUUUCUUUUAAUGAUUCAAAUGCUAAAUACGUUACAUAUUUUUCAACUUACAUUUUCUUUUCAUAAUCAAGUGGAAUGUUUAAUUUAAAAUUGUUGAUAAAUUCUAGCUUCAUUUUUACAAAUGGAUAGGGUUGGAUUGAAUAUAUUAAAGAUAAGAAAUCGAAUUAAUCUUGAAUAUUGUUUUCGUAUGUGUCCAAUUUCUUGAUAUAUAAGAAAUUGAACAUGUGGGGUAAAGGUCAAUGGGGCAGUCACGAAGCAUGAUUCCCUGCAGCUGAUUCGAUUCAAUAAUAGAGAAAUGAUGAAGCAGUACUGCAAUUUUCAGAAGCCAUGCAUGAAUGGGCUUGUGAGAGUCAGACAAGCUUCAAUUUAGAAAUGGGGUCAUUUUCAAUAGGGCUGUUAUUGCGUGAAGCUUUGGUGCUUCCCAUUGGCUCCAAACCCAACUCACGACUCAAAACUCAAGCUCCUCAAGCAAGUGAUUUUUGCUUGUUAGUUUGUCAAAGAUAAUAAAUACAGAUUUUUUGUGCUUAUGAGAACAUUUGAACACACCUUUGUUGUUACUAUAAUUUUCUCGACAAAAAUACAAAUUUUGUAACAAUAUUUUUAGAUUUCGUAAAUAUUGGUCAUCUUUAGUAACUCUAAUAUAUUUUAUUUUUUAUUUUUAAAAAUAAAAAAUAUUAUGGAGUAUGGAGUGGACACUUGGAAAGUGCACCCAGUUUUAUUAAUAGAAAGCGGAAAAGGAUAUCCAUGAUCGCAUGCUUGUAAUUAUAUGGAAGUGGGCGAGCCGAGGCUCCCCCCUGGCCUGGUCAUGGCUCCUAUGGAUACAUCAUAUGCAUAUACUAUAUACUAUUACCUUUUAUUAUUCUAUUUGAUUUUAUAUGAUGGAUUAAUUGGACUUUGAGCAUGUCUUUCGAAUCUCUCCUUGAGUACCAGUCUUGACCCCGAUGCUACUCAUUUUAAUCAUGGCUUUUGGAAACUCAAUAUAAAAUCUAAGCCCCAGUAUGCCUCUUCCGUUACCAGCAUAAUUCCUAACGAUCUUCCGAGUUUCGCUAUCUCCAAAAAGCCUUUGAUCCGACUCCAGGACUCCAUUCCCAUCCCGCACAUUCUUGAAGAAAUUGACAUCGAAUUUGGUCUGGCUAUUUGUAUCCAGCGCCACCCUUGUGGAGCCAUUGCCACCUUCAGGACAAAGGGCUUGCAGCUGAGCAAGGAAAGCUGGGUUUAUUGUUGGGUCUGCAUUUCCCCUUGUCGUGAAGUUGUAGAGACGGUAUUGGAAGACCGAACAGUUCGUUUGCCCAAUGGUGUGUGCCCCUGCACAAACAUAUAUAGUGAACCAAACAUGCACAUAUGCCAUCUAAUUAUCAAUUUUUUUUUUGUGGAUAAAUCAGAGAGAGAAAAUAUAUACCAACUAGUGUUACAAGGUCAUUAGUGUUGAGGCCUUUAUCAGCAAACUUCUGUCUUAGGACAGGAAUAGAAUCAUUAGGAGCAGGGAAAUUAGAGGCAUCCGGGGAUGAAGAUACGUUCGUCUCAUCUCGUCUUCCUGUGGGCACUGACCAACUUGGACCACCACUCUGGACAUAAUUUGAAACAAAAUUAAUUGGCUUACCCCCUUGAUCACAACCAAAUAUACUUCACUAGGGUUUAUAUUAUAUUUGAUGAAGAGUACUUUACCAAGCCAACAGCAUCACGAGCAGCUAGUGCUAGUAUAUCAGCACAUGAUACCACCCCGGGGCACAAGGCCUCCAGUUGAGUUUUGGCGUCAUCUAUCACAUCAAAUCCUCUUAAUCCUGCGUUGGGCAAUGCAUCUGUCUCACCUGAAGCCUCAGUUAUCAGUAUCGAAGCGUCGCAGCCCUGUUCAGAUCAAUCAACUGAAGGUCCAUGAUCAAUUAAUAUAAGCAAACAUGGAAGAAGUAGAAAAAGAAAAAGAACCUGAACAAAGCAAUCUUGGAAAUGAAGCCUAAGAACACCAGCUGCAAUUGUAGGAUCCUGCUUGAAGUGCGUUUCAACAGUGGACCUGACUGUGGCCUCAGCCUUUGGGCAUGAAGAAGAGUAAAACCCGGAUGUCAAUCCUUGUUGAGUUUCUGCAAACAAACUUAAAAUCACUGCCAACAAAACCAGCCAUUUAGGUUCCAUUUGCACCAUUAACAAGUAGAAAAGAGAAGCAAAACUCUCAGUUGGCUCUCGUCUCUAUCUCCUCACGACAAACCUUGCAUGUCCACUAUUGAGCAUUGAUCUUAUAUGAAUUCCACCAAGCUGACUUUUGCUUGUCGAUCACUUUCAGUCAUUCAAUCCGGGCUUCUCAUCACUCCACAAUCCUUUAGUGGAGGCGUGUGGGGGCCAUUCAAGAUGGUGAUGAUCAUCUUCCUUUUUUGACUUUUGUUUGCGGAGAGUUAGGAGAUGGAUGAUUUUCACUUUGAGUAUAUAUCAUAUCGUAACUUAACAUAUCAUGUACAUUGGAAGAAAUUAUAAAUGGAGCCUUUCCCUCUCGUCCUUGCUUCCUUUUCUUUAUUCCUCCCAUGCGUGUUGGACGUCUCUUUCUCUCAGUUUCUUUGGCUUCUCUUUCCUCCUUUUUCCCUUCCAUUUCUUCACUCUGUUCAUGCUUAGCUUCAACUUCUUGUUUAUCCAGACCGCGCACAGGAUACAAAAUCUGUCCAAUUUUAUUUUUUAAAAAAACAUAAGAUGCUAUUUGGUAAUCUGAUCAUGAUUUGCAGGCAAAGGUUGUGUUUUUCAGCCUGACUAAAAAAUUGUGGAUUUAGGGCUCGUGAAAUUUAAAUCGAAUGGCACAAAAGCAAAGAGACCCCUAGAACAGAUCCAGAAAACACAGGGAGCAAAAAAAAGCAUUUUUUUUUUUUGUUUUCCUUGGGGGUUUUGCAUGGAUUUUCUGGGAAAUCUAACGAGGAUGAAUUUUCCCGGAAAUCGAACGGGGGAUGGAUUUUCUUGGGAAUCAAACGGGGGUUGCAAAAAAAAUAAUAAUAACACGGUUAGAUUAGCACCUGCGAGGAUUGAGAGUGGCAGAGGAAAAUAGGGCCUUUUUAGGGAUUCUCUCGUUGGAGGGCAACUUCAGAAGUGGGCUUCUUGAUGCCCGAGGCCCCGAGUGAGAGAAGUGGGUGGCCCUUUUGAGUUUUCCUCUCUCUAUAUAAAUAAUUAUUAAUUAUCAAUCUUUAUUUUGAUUAAAUCACUACCAUGGCUUGAAAUUUCCAUUUUUAUCGAUGAAAUUUAAUGAAUUAAAAUUAAUUUGAUAAAAUAAAUUAUUAAUAAUUUUAAUUAUUUAAAUAAUUAAUGUUAAUAAAAAAAAUUGUUACCACAUAAUUUUAAUAAAAUUUUAGAAAUUAAUUCUCAAAUAAAAUAUUUUAUACGAAUUAAUUUAAUUUUUCAUUUAAAAUGUGAUAAAACAUGUUUCAAUAAAAAUAUUUUAAAAGUUUUAAAAUAAAUAUUGUCUUCAACAAGAUGGACUUCCUUCAUCUAACAAUAUGAUGAAACCGCAUCGAUCUUCAUUUUGAUACUAAGACUAUUGCAAUAUCAUAUGUAUUAUAUUUAUGUAUAAAUUGUUUUUAUUCAAUAAAAUUAAAUAUUUCUUAACUUAAUUCUAACUUUAUACACUUCCAAAAUUUAUAUUUAUUAUUAUUAAAAUUUAAAUAUUGAAUUUAUCAAUAUAUUUAUGUUUAUUGAUGUUUUUCUUCCUGAUCAUAUUUAUGUCAAUUAUACUUAUAAAAUAACUUAAAAAUAUGUAUUUUUACUUGUUUGAUAAUUUUUUUUGGAGUUUUUCCAAACAUUCCUAUAAAUUUUAAUUAAUUUUUGUUUCACCGAUAUUUUUCCAAUAUUUUUUAUAUAUUUGUAAAAUCGAAGUACCAAUAUAUCCAUAAUUAUUACUACUUUCAUCAUUACCUAAAACUUAUAUUUUCAACCUAAAGCUCGCUUGCCAUUGCAAGGUGGCCCGAGCACGACCCAUUUGCAUAUCAAUGGGUCUAGAUUACAAAAUCAGGAUAUCCAAGAACAUAUUGUUUGCGACCUUGGCCAUCCAAUAUUGUUCUCAAAAUUACUCUGCUAUAUCAUUGUUAUUUGUAUUAUUUUAUUAUUUUAAAAAGUAUUAAAUUUUAAAUGAAGAACAAAAGGAUGUUUGUUGGUAAUUCAAGUAAAGAAAAAUGAUUUCUAGUUGUCUAAAUUAGUAGAAGAAAUCAACAAUUCUAAUUUAUUCCUUUUUUUGAAUUUAUAUAUAUUUCAUAAUUUUAAAAUUAACAAUAUAAGGAAUAUAAAUAGAAAAAUUCAAAUAAAUAAAAAUAUUAUUUGCCCCAUGAGCCAACAAUCGAUUUAUAUUAUUGUCUUUAAAAUUCUUAAAACUUCUUCUUUCUUUUAUUUUUAUUUUUAAUUUUAUUUUGAAUCUCUACUCUCUUUGCUCAAAUCAUGAAUGCCCUAAACCUAAAAAAGUGAACUCAUUCAUCUCUUCAUCAUGUCACUAUCUUUACAUUUUAAGAAAUUUAUGAUGAUAUGAAUAAAAUCUUUGAAAUUAAAUAAAACAAAAUCAUUCAAUUAGCAUUUACAAAGUAUUGGAAAAUAUCUCAGAUUCCUAAUUAAUUAUUACCUAACUCAAUAUAUUAUUAUAAUAUUACAUUUUUUGAUAAAAUAAGAAAAUUUAUUAUAAAUAUUUUAAGUCAUGAAUGAAAAAGAAAUUAUGAAAUAGAGUUGAAUUUGUAAAAACUAUAUGAGAUUGGAUAGAUAUGUGAAGAAAAAUGGAAGAUAUUCGAAGAAGGGAAAUAUGUGAUGUGGAGAAUAUAAUAGUUGUACCUUGUUUUUGUUUUCUAUAAUAAUUUUCCAUGCUAUAAUAGAAUAAUUUUUUCUAUAUUCAGAAAUAAGAGAAUUAUUUAACUAUACCACAAAAAACAUCAUAGUGGACAUAAACUAGAUAUAAUUAUUCGGUUACCAAAACAUUUUAUAUUUUCCACUCAUUUUAUCCACACAUUAAACCAUGAACCCCUAGUUGUUUCAUGUAUCUGUCGGUCUUUCUUGCAUCUCCAUUCAUCACAUAUAAUAUAUUAUGUUAAAAAAUAUUCUAUGCACUAUUCUCUACAAAAAGAAUAUAUUCUAUUAGGAAUUUGGUAUACUUUACCUCAAUCAACCAGCAUAAGGAUGAUCAAUUUCCCGGUGUCAGCAGAUUCACAAGAAAUAUGUAUAUACUUCUAUGGUAUAUGGCAUACAUCAUAUGUAUAUACUAUUACCUUUUAAUAUUCUAUUUGAUUUGAUUCGAUGGAUUGAUUGAACUUUGAGCAUGUCUUUCGAAUCUCUCCUUUGAGUACCAGUCUUGACCCCGAUGCUACUCAGUUUAAUCAUGGCUUUUGGAAUUAACUCAAAAUAAAAUCUAAGCCCCAGUUAGCCUCUUACGUUACCGGCAUAAUUCUUAACGAUCCUCUGGGUUUCGCUAUCUCCAAAAAUCCUUUGAUUCGACUCCAAGACUCCAUUCCCAACCCGCACAUUCUUGAAGAAACUCACAUCGAAUUUGAUCUGGCUAUCUUUAUCUAGUGGCACCCUUGUGGAGACAUUGCCACAUUCGGGACAAAGGGCAUGCAGUUGAGCAAGGAAAGCUUGGUUUAUUGUUGGGUCUGCAUUUCCCUUUUCCAUGAAGUUGUAGAGACGAUAUUGGAAGAACGAACAGUCCGUUUGCCCAAUGGUGUGUGCCCCUGCACAAACGUAUAUACUGGACCAAACAUGCAUAUAUGCCAUCUAAUUAUCGAACUUUUUUUUUUUUUUUGUGGAUAAAUUAGAGAAAGAGAAAAUAUGUACCAACUAGUGUUACGAGGUCAUGAUUGUUGAGGCCUUUAGCAGCAAACUUCUGCCUUAGGACAUGAAUAGAAUCAGUAAGAGCAAGUAAAUUAAGUGCAUCAGGGGAUAAAGAUACAAGCCUCCCAUCUCGUCUUUCUGUGGGCACUCUAUUCAUACGUAGCUUCAGUUUGAUGAACCUACAUACAUGGAUCAACUUUUUGCAAAUAUACCAUUGAAUUCAAUCCAAAAUAUGUACUUUCAAAUAAAGGUUGAAGUGUGCACAUAUGUGAAAGGAAAUUGAGGAAAGGCGGCGUGUGACCAAAAGAGAAAGACACUAGUGGGAUUUUUGUGAUGAAAGUGGCCCUCUGUUAGCCCAUUAGACCUUUGACUCGAACAAUGGAACAAAGGGCUUCUUGGGUUGGCCCUGCACCCAUGGGGACCACAGGAAUAAAGCAAGGAGAACCUAGAGAUUUGAUACGAGGGCCCUCAAGAAUCUAAGUAAGUGAGGAGGCAAAAAUCGAUGCUAGUAGACCACACAUGCACAGGCCAUUCGCAUACCUUCAUGCAUGCUCGCGUGCACGCUUGUAUGCACGAUUGCUGGCACACGUGUGCACGAUUGUUUGCAUGCCCACGUGCAUGAUUGCUUGCAUGCUUAUGUGUAUGAUUGCACACAUGCUUGCGUGCACUUGAACGCAUUCCCGCAUGUGCACUAGUCCUCGCCCUUGCACUCAUCCCACACACUUGUGCAUCUUUAGCACCUAACAUACACCCUAAUGCAGCAAUAUUGAUGGCACAAAUGUUGUAUAAGGAUUAUGUGGAUAUUUAUUUAUGUAUUUAAUAAAUAUUUCAUUAUGUCUCCUCAAGGUGAUUUGAUAUCUCCUCAAGACAUUUCUAAAGCGACUUGUAAUGCUUUUUAAAGGGGGAUAAGUGACUCAAGGGAUCCCCAAGGUCAGACCUUGGUUGUAUCAAGAGGGAACCACGGCAUGGCCUUGGGCAUGCCUAUGAUACUCAAAUGACAUAGUAGCACUCACACAUGGCUCUAUGACAUAUGUGGCAUGCAACCCAUGGCCACAAUGGCACGAGGGUGGUACUACCUAUCCCUCCCUAAUGUUAGCAUGAGGAAGCUCAAAGCUUAUGCACUGAGACGAUUCAAGAAGCCAUUGACAUAAUUCAAUGGUUCGAUAGGGUGGUAAGGCACACAACCAACUUAGAUCGAAUGCCUGUGCAGGGCACAGGAGCGCAAUGUCCUCUACAUGAGGAUGAUUAGGCCAUGGUGCAAUACCAUGGCUCAAUGUUGCGACUAAGAUGGCUUGAUAUAAGACACUAUUGCAACAACUACACCAAUGGGUUGGUGGUGCAUAGCAUGACAUGGGCAAAACACCAACGAACCUUGCAACAAGAUGGAGCCUAACAUGGGCCCAAAUGCUAUGAGCUUGAGCAUCACUGUGGGGAAAGACACACUGAUGAAUUAGAGAGACACGAUUGGAUGGCUGAUGUAAAAUGUUGGUUUAGAAAUCCAUUGGCUCAUAAACACCUUGGUGGGUACUCGUUGACAAGAGGCACCUUAUGAAGAAAAGACACCUUGUUAGGCACUCAUCAUCAGUGGCACUUUGAAGAAGCAAUUUGAAGGAAAUGACUAUCUAAGGACAUUUUGAGGAGUUGCAUCCGAUGGAGAAAAACACAUGAAGUGUAGUAGCCUUGGCUCAGCAUAAAAGGAACAUGAAGAUAAUUGACUAGCUACAAAUGGUGCAAAGAGACACUUCAAUUUGAAAGGUGUCUCCAUAUGUUGCAUAAGCACCAACAAACUCCUAAUUUGAAUUCAAAAUGUAAACUGAAGGCAAUGAGGUAUAAAAGCCUCUUGUAUUUCAAAUAAACACAUAGAGAAAGGUUUGGCAAAAAUGAGAGCAUUGUAUGGUUCUUUGACUCAUGUAUAGGUGUUAAGACACUCAAUCAAAUUUGUAAUAUCUUGUAGUUGAUCAAUAACACAAGUUAAGAAAGGGUUCACAUAUUUGAUUGGCCUCUUUUACGCUGCUUUUGUUGAGCCACUUGGGAAAGGUUGGUUAAGAAAGAGUUCUUAGCACCGCACAUUUAGAAAACAAAUUGGUGGUGAUUUCCUAUGGUGUGACACCCUUCAUUGUUCGUUCACUAGUUUUAUUAUUUUCUUUAUUUCUUAUCAAUUUUAAAAGCGAUAAAAAAGAAAAAAAAUGAAUAAUCUAAAGUAGUAUAAAGUGUACACUCAUAUCUUCCUUGUAUCAUCAAGGACAUGUAUAAAAUUUGAACACAUCGGAUUUGGAUCAAAGAUGUGUCAAGCUCACACCUAAAAAUUAGGUUAAGCCUUGUAAAUUAAUUUAAUUAUGUGAUAAUUAUUGAGCUUGGGGUUGGAUUUCGCCUAAAUCUUAUAUUCGCAACCUAAAGUCUGCCUACCAUUGCAAGGUGGCCUGAGCCUGAUCCAUUUGCAUAUCGACCGAUCUAGAAUACAAAGGCAAGAUAUGAAAGAAUCUACUGUUUGUGACCUUAACCUAUCCAAUAUUAUUCUAAAAAUUGUUUUGUUAUAUUAUUUUUAUCUCUGUAUGGUUUUAUUAUUUAAAAAAUAAUAUGUUGAUUAGGAUAAAAAAUAUUUAAAUUUUAAAUGAAGAAAAAGGUAUUUGUUGGUAAUUCAAUUAAAAACAAAAGAUUUCCAAUUGUCUAAAUUAAUAGAAGAAAUUAACAAUUCUAAUUUAGAAUAUGAGGAAAUAUAUAUUUCAUAAUUUUAAAAUUAAGAAUAUUAUGAAUAUAAAUAGAAAAAUUCAAAUAAAUAAAAACACUAUUUGCCCAUUAUGUGGAAUGGGAUGAGCGAACAAUCCACUUAUAUUUCUGCCUUAAAACUCUUAAAAUUUCUUAUUUCUUUCUUUUUUUCUUUUUUUCUUUAUAUUUUGAACCUCCACUCUUUGUCCAAAUUGAUGCCAUAAACCUAACUCAAAUCAAUGGUGAACUCCUUCGUCUCUUCAUCAUUUCAUUAUUUUUACAGUUAAAAGAAGAGUUGAAAAGUAUUUCAAAUUCUUAAUUAAUAUGAAUUUCUUUUUGUAAAUAAUAUUAUAUAAAUAUUUCCUAAGUUGAUAUAUUAUUAUAAUAUUAUAUUUUCUAAUAGAAUAAGAAAAAUUAUUUGGAAUAUCUCCAUAGAUAUUUUAGGUCAUAAGAGGAAAAAUUUUAUGAGAUGGGACUCAUAAAGACUAUGUGAGGUGGAUAAAGAAUAGGAGAUACAUGAAAGAGUAAGGAACUUGUAGUUAAAUAUGUUUAGGGUGUGGAUAUAAAGAGUAGGGAAAUAUAAAAUGUUUUAGGAACUCAAUAGUUGUAUCUGUUUAUAUUUUUUGUAAUAUUUUUUAUGUUAUAGCGCAGUCAAAUGAUUAUUUCUUAUUUGUAGAUGUAGAUAUGGUUGGUUAAACCAUGUUAAAACUCUAAAUACCUGUGUGUUAAUUGUUUUAUCUUUAUAUUAUUGAAUUAACAUUAUUUGCAUUAAAGCUUUUAUUGGUACAAUAAAUUAGUAUCAAAGCUUUGGUUGAAGAUUUGUGGAAGAACCAUAGAGAAUAGAGCACACAAGAUGAUUAAAAUUCUAUUAUGGAUUAUUUUAUUUACCUUUGUGUGGAUUAUUUUAUCUUUGUGUUAUUGAAUUAACAUUACUUGCAUUAAUGCUUUUACUAGUAUAGAGCUUUGAUUAAAGAUUUGUGGAAAAGUCAAGGAGAAUAGAACACACGAGAUGAUUAAAAGUUUAAUCAUUUUGUGUACUCUAUUCUCGUUAGCUCUUCCACAAGCCUUAAACCAAAGCCCUGAUACCAAUUUGUUGUAUCAACAAAAGUUGUAAUGCAAAUAAUGUUAAUUAAAAAAGGUAAAGAUAAAAUAAUUAAUACGAAAGUAGACAAUGUUUUAGCAUGAUUCGACCAACCAAUGUCUAUAUGAUGAGAGAAAAUCAUUUUACUAUACCAUAAAAAACAAUACAACAAAUAUAAAUCAAAUACAACUAGUGGUUCACAAAACAUUUCAUGUUUCCCCACUUCUUGUAUCUCUAAAUUACAAUCCCUUCACUCAUUUUGAUGUCUCUCAUUCUUUUUCAUAUCUUUAUCCACUUCGUAACCUUUUUCGGCACUUAGCUUAAUUUUUAAUAACUUUUCUUAUGCUAUAAGAAAAUCUUAUAUUAUAAUAAUAUAUUAACUUACAAAAUAUUAUAUAUAAUAUUAGCAAGAAAUUUAUACUAAAUAGUAAUUUAAAACACUUUCCAUCAAGAAACUCCAACGACAUAGCGGUGAUUAGUUUGCCACGUGCCAGAAAAUUCACAACCUCGAAUGGCACCCAACACCCUGUUAAGAGCUCGCGCAAUAGUUGUAAAGAAGACAACACAUGCACGAGUUGGCGGAGGGAGCGAUGGAAAAAAGUGCUUGUUAGAGGAGGCCAGAACAGGCAUUGGCUGUAAAUAAGCCCAAGCAGCCUGCUUCACAGGAGGUUAGAUAUGGGAAUCUGGUAGGCAGAUUGGAUGGUGCAAGGCGCGAGGGAGAUGGUGGGUGAAGAGGGCAUCAAGUCCUUCAAUGAAGUUAGGUUGUGGGUGCUGAAGAAUCCAGAUAUGAGGUGGUGGCGGCAGCGAGGAGUGAGUGGUUGACGGUGGUAAGUAUAGGAUAAUGAAAGAAACAAAAGGAGGAAAAAAUCGACAUUAUUGUAGGGACCCCUCCCUCCGAGAACACGUGGCAUGCAUCUUACAGUGACACGUGACACGCAUUGUCACCCGAGUCACCCUCAUCCGAAUCUUCCUAUAAAGCACACAUGGCAUGCUUUUCCGGACUACCUCAAGGAAGAUCAAACGACACUUAUAAAUAUAUCAUCCGGACGACUCACACAGUACAUCCGGAUGAUCAGCAUAUGUCAUCAGGAUAAAGUGGUCCGGAUCAUUGACUGAAGUAAGCAAGUCUCACACGUUACCACAACAGCCUGUCAUGGCCCACGUUCCGCGGCCUAUAGGGUGAGAGGACAAGAUGAAGUGACAACAAGUCACUUCCCACGAUCUCUGACAGUCGCAUCACCUGCCACGAUCACUGUCAGCCGCCCGUAGGGUGAUGAUGGUCAUGCUGCCACCUAAUGUCAUCAUGACAACAUAAAAUAUCUCACCACCAUUAAUGAGAGGAACAAUACUCCUGGCACUAUAUAUAAACCUUCACACGAAGAGGAAGGUAAGCUCCUGAGAUCUAGAAAAAGGCCAACUGAUUUAUAUCUCCCUCUCUAACCAUGGCUAACAAAAUCAUCGGAGGGUGCGUCCGGACACCCUGUCCGGAUGCCUUUUGCAGGAAUAACGACUGAAUCAAGAACCUUCGUGUGUUGAGAUCGCGUGUCCUUCCAUUUGGCAACUACGUGGAACACCAGGAGCGCGAGGUAUCAACAAUUAUGGACAGUGAAAUAGGGAACAACAAGACAUCCAGUGGCAAGUAUAGGGUCCAGCAUGCUCCUCACUCAUCAUAAGAGCCGCUAAUUAUAUGGUUUGUCUUAUUUAACUCUUUCCCUGAAAACGAACUUCACCAUUCUAAUGGCCAAAUGGAUUAUUCGCAUAUAUAGUCAUAAAACUAGGUCUGUGCUUCAUGUGCUUGACAAUUUCAAUAACCAUACCCUGGAAAAAGAAAAUUGGCUUACCGAAACCAGUCAUAGUUCUCAAUAAAUUCAAGAGCCCUAAAACAGAUACAAAUAAGAUGCAGACUGCAUUUGCAAAUCAACUGUCUCUACACUCUACAGAUUCAGUCAAUAUCACUCAUAACUAGCCUGGAAACAAAACUGACCCAACCCAACCCUCUCCUUUCCCUUUUCCACAACGCACACACAAACUAGAUGCUUUUAUAUCCUCUUUGAUAGUAAAGUGAAUCCUACAUAAAAAUAAAAAAUGCCAUCCAGAAGAAAUCAAUGCAAACAACAACAGGGUUCACAAACCCAGAAAUAAGCAUUCAAGAAAUCUAAAAUACCGACUCACAGGAAUCAAAAGCCGCCUUCUGAACAAUCCCCUCUAGCGUAUCGUAGACCAACUUGCUGUCCACAUGAAACCUCAAGUACCCAUCAAUGGAUGGAGCCAUUUCCAAAACUCCGCCUCGUCUUGCAGGGACAGAGCCGUGUCUUCUCAAAACCCGGAAGCGAAAACUAGGGCCCGUGAGAGAACGGGUAGGCAGCUUGCCUGUAAGGUCGGUGACUUGAAUUAGGGUUUAUUCAGAGGGGACUGGGAUUGAGAAAAGGGGGUCAGCGAAGCCAUUUUUAAAAGAAAUUUUAAGAAAAACAAUAUAGCUUUCCUGGGGAGAGAACGUAAGGAGCUUUUAAAGAAGGAAAACGGUAGUUGGCUUGCAGUAGCGUUUCAAGUGGUCUUGAAGACAAAGCGAUUGAAUAAACAAAGAGUGAGACGUUGAUUGGUGCGUGGGUGUAUCGUCUAAGUGGGGGGUCUUCCUCCUCCUCUGCCUGUCUCCAAUCCUCCAUUGAUGCAGCCUCUACGCUUCCGUUAAUACAUUAUUUAUUCCCAAGCUUUCAUUGGGUGCCACAUACGACGUCGUUUUUAUCUCUGCAUUGAUUGGCGGUGUGGGGUGGCGAAUCAGAUAAGAGCGACACGACGUCGUUUUCCCAUUUUCCCCUUCACCAUUUCCUUUUUUUUUUAUUUUUUUCUCUAUGACGUUCGACAUGUAUCGCGCGCCCGCACCCCCCCCCCCCCCCCCACCCACACACACACACGCUGAGGUGGCAGACCAUAAAAAGCAGUACCAAAAAAGGCCAAAGCCUUGGUAGGGAUUCAAUAAGUCUAGUACUAAUAAUGUCACGUUUAUUAAUUAUAUUAAAUAUAAUUAAUGAAAUAACUUAAUAUCUUAAUAGUCUUAAUUGCUAAUGUUUUUGGAAGAAUUAUUUUUUUGGGUAGAUGGACCCCCAAAUUAACAAAAGGUCCAUAUAACUCUUCAAAUUGAGUUAAAGGAUAUGAAAAACAAAUAUACCCUUUAAGAACACAUAUAAAAUAUUUUAUAAAAUUAAGUUAAAUAAUUUUUUUUUUCAAAAAUAUUAAAUUAAAUAAAAAUAGUUUUCAAAAAUAUUAAAUUAAAUUAAAGUAUUUAAAAAAAUGUUAAAUUAAAUUUUUUUUAAAUAUUAAAUUAAAUAAAUUUAUUUUUAAAAAAUAUUAAAUUAAAUAAAUUUAUUUUUAAAAAAUAUGAAAUUAAAUAAAAGUAUUUUAAAAAUUAUUAAAUUACUAAAAGUAUUUUUAAAAAAUAUUAAAUUAAAUAAAAGUAUUUUUUAAAAAUAUUAAUUUUUUUUCUCAAAAUCAACAAAGGGCAUUUUUGGAAAUACUGAAGGAUGAUAUCCUUCAACUCAAUUUCCAUAUUUUUAUUGGGUCUUGGGCUCAAUUAAAGAGUUAUAUGGACCUUUUGUUAAUUUGGGAGCCCAUCUACCCCCAAAACAUAAUUCUCCUAAUGUUUUUUUCAUCUCCUAUUUAUUUCUUAUGACCUCGUUGCUUAACAUGAAAGGAAAGUAAAUAUGUCUGCAAAUUUAGAAAAAAAUUAUUUAAAGACAUUUUAUCAAACAAUCUUACCAUCAAAAAUAAAAAUUAUAUAAUAAAUUAUAAAUUACCAACUUAAGCAUAACUUGAAAUAAUCUUAAAUAAAUAGGUAUUAAAUUUUAUGAAAGGACUGCAUUGAAAAUGAUUAAUAAGCUGAAAAAUAUCAUAUUAAAUACAAAAUAUUUUAUUUUCUAUAAAUCCAAUGUAUAUUUAAUUCAAAUUGGUAUAUAUUGGAGUUGGGUGGGUGCCCAAGUCGAGUUGACCCAACCCAGUCAUACAUAAUAAGAGAUAAAGAGGGAGUAGUUUCUGAGAGUUGAAAAUCGUCACAAACUGUCGAGUAAUCAACCCAAUUAAAUAAAUAAAAAUAAAAAUAAAUAUCUCUCCUUUUUCCACACUUCUACUUUUUCUCUAUAAAAAAAGAUUGAGAUAACUUGAAAAUAAUUUUUUUUUUAUAAAAUGUGAAAAAUAUUUUAUGCUGUAAAAUAAUGUGAUUUUCGAUUUUAAUGUGUUUCUAUUUAAAACUUAGACGAAGAAUUAAAUGGUGAAACAACUGUUUUUGUAUCUUGGACUUUUCUAAAUGUAAUUCGAAGAUAUCCAACAAUAUAAAAUUUAUUCAAUUUCAAGUCCACAUGCAUAUCCCAAAAAGUUUGGAAAGAAAUUAUAUAUAUACAUAUGAUAGUACCUAAAAUAAAAUACUUUCUUUUCAUGAUAUAAAUGCAAAAUACAUUACAUAUUUAAUUUCAAAUGCUAUUUGUCAACUCACAUUUUCUUUUCAUAAUUAAGCGGAAUGUUUAAUUUAAAAUUGUCAAUAAAUUCUAGCUUCAUUUUUAUAAAUGGGUAGGGUUUGAUUGAAUGUAUUAAAGAUAAGAAAUCGAAUUAAUCUUGAAUAUUGUUUUCGUAAGUGUUCAAUUUCUUGAUGUACAAGUACUGGAACAUGUGGGGUAAAGCUCAAUGGGGCAGUCACGAGGCAUGAUUCCCUGCAGCUGAUUCGAUUCAAUAAUAGAGAAAUGAUGAAGCAGUACUCCAAUUUUCAGAAGCCAUGCAUGAAUGGGCUUGUGAGACAAGCUUCAAUUUAGAAAUGGGGUCAUUUUCAAUACAGUUAUUGCGUGAAGCUUUGGUGCUUCCAAUUGGCUCCAAACCCAACUCACAACUCAAAACUUAAGCUCCUAAAGCAAGUGAUUUUUGUUUUUUAGUUUGUCAAAGAUAAUAAAUACAGAUUUUUUGUUUUUGUGAAAACAUUUGAACUCACACUUUUGUUGUUACUAUAAUUUUCUCGACAAAAAUACAAAUUUUGUAACAAUAUUUUUAGAUUUCGUAAGUAUUGAUCAUAUUUAGCAACUCUAAUAUAAUUUUAUUUUUAUUUAAAAAAGAAAAAAAGAAAAUAUACUAUGGAGUAUGGACUGGACACUGGAAAGUGCACCUAUUUUCAUUAAUAGAAAGCGGAAAAGGAUAUCCAUGACCGCAUGCUGCUUAUUAUAUGGAAGUGGGAGAGUCAGGGCUCCCCCUUGGCCUGGUCAUGGCUCCUAUGGCAUACAUUAUAUGUAUAUACUAUAUACUAUUACAUUUUAAUAUUCUAUUUCAUUUGAUUCGAUGGAUUGAUUGAACCUUGCGCAUGUCUUUCGAAUCUGUCCUUGAGUACCAGUCUUGACCCCGAUGCUACUCAUUUUAAUCAUGGCUUUUGGAAACUCAAAAUAAAAUCUAAGCCCCAGUAAGCCUUUUCCGUUACCAGCAUAAUUCUUAACGAUUCUCUGGGUUUCGCUAUCUCCAAAAAGCCUUUGAUCGGACUCCAGGACUCCAUUCCCAUCCCGCACAUUCUUGAAGAAACUGACAUCGAAUUUGAACUGGCUAUCUUUAUCCAGCGGCACCCCCUUUUUGGAGACAUCGCCACCAACAUCAGGACAAAGGGCUCGCAGCUGAGCCAGGAAAGCUUGGUUUAUUGUUGGGUCUGCAUUUCCCUUUGCCGUGAAGUUGUAGAGACGGUAUUCAAAGGACGAACAGUCCGUUAGUCCAAUGGUGUGUGCCCCUGCACAAACAUAUAUUCUGAACCAAACAUGCAUAUAUGCCAUCUAAUUAUCAAACUUUCUUUUUUUUUUUUUAUGGAUAAAUCAAAGAAAAAGAAAAUAUAUACCAAUUAGUGUUACAAGGUCGUGAUUGUUGAGGCCUUUAGCAGCAAACUUCUCUCUUAGGACAGGAAUAGAAUCAGUAGGAACAGGUAAAGUAAGGUUCUCCGGGGAUACACCAAAUGAGAGCCUCCCAUCUCGUCUUCCUGUGGGCACUGGCCAACUUGGACCACCACUCUGGACAUGUUUUAAAACAAAAUUAAUUGGCUUACCCCCUUGAUCACCACCAAAUAUACUUCACUAGGGUUUAUAUUAUGUUUGAUGAAGAGUACUUUACCAAGCCAACAGCAUCACGAGCAGCAAGUGCCAGUAUAUCAGCACAUGAUACCACCCCGGGGCACAAGGUCUCCAGUUGAGUUUUGGCGUCAUCUAUCACACCAAAUCCUCGUAUUUCUGUGUCAGUCAAUGCAUCUAUCUCACUUACUAAACCAUCGCAGCCCUGUUCAGAUCAAUCAAUUGAAGGUCUAUGAUCAAUUAAUAUAAGUAAACAUGGAAGAAGAAGAAAAAGAAGAAAAAGAACCUGAAAAAAGCAAUCUUUGAAAUGAAGCUUGAGAACGCCCGCUGCAAUUGUAGGAUCCUUCUUGAAAUGCGUUACAACAGUAGAACUGACUAUGGCCUCAGCCUUUGGGCAUGAAGAAGAGUAAAACCCGGGUAUCAAUCCUUGUUGGGUUUCUCCAAACCAACUUAACCCCAGAAUCACUACCAACAAAACCAGCCAUUUGGGUUCCAUUUGCACCAUUAACAAAUAAGAAUAGAAGCAAAACUCUCAGUUGGCUCUCCUCUCUAUCUCCUCACUACAAACCUUGCACGUUCAGUACUACUGAGUAUCAAUCUUAUAUGGAUUCGGCCAAGCAGAUUUUUGCUUGUUGCUUUCAGUCAUUCAUUCUGAGCUUCUCAACACUCCACAAUCCUUUAGUGGAGACGCGCGGGGGCCAUUAAAGAUGGUGAUGACCAUCUUCCUUUUUGGACUUUUGUCUGUGUAGAGUUAGGAGAUGGAUAAUUUUCACUUUCAAUAUAUAUCAUAUCAUAUACAUUGGAAGUUCCCUCUCAUCCAUGAUUCCUUUGAUUUAUUCCUCCUAGAUGCGUUGGACAUCUUUUUCUCUCAGUUUCUUUGUCUUCUCUUUCUUCCUUUUUCCCUUCCAUUUCUUCACUCUGUUCAUACGUAGCUUCAGUUUGAUGAACCUGCAUACAUGGAUCAACUUUUUACAAAUAUACCACUGAAUUCAAUCCAAAAGAUGUACUUUCAAAUGAAGGUUGAAGUGUGUACAUAUGUGAAAGGAAAUGGGGGAAAGAGGGCAUGUAACCAACCAAAAGAGAAGUGACACUAGUGGGAUUUUCAUGAUGAAUGUGGCCCUCUAUCAGCCCGUUAGACCUUUGACUCGGAAGGUGGAACAAAGGGCCUCUUGGGUUGGCCUUGCAUCCAUGGGACCAUAGGAGGAAAGCAAGGAGAACCUAGAAAUUUGAUGAGAGGACCCUCAAGAAGCUAAGUGAGGAAGCAAAAACGGAUGCUAGUAGGCCACGCAUGCACAGGCCACGUGCACACCUUCAUGCACCCCCGCAUGCACGCUCGCACACAUGCCCGUGUGCACCUGCACACAUUCCUGCACUUUUUCAAUGCCUUAGGCUGCAGCUUUUGAAAAUUUCAAUUAUGCUUGAUGAAAGCCUUUCAGAACUAGUGUUUUCCCAUUACACCCAUUUGUAAUUUUGUUAAACUUAUUAUGGAUGCCUAUUUAUGUUAAGGGUCUAUACAUCUUUUUCAUUCACAAUAUAUAUAAUAGGAUUGGAGGUUUUGAGCCAAGCCUGCUGCUUGUUACAUCAAUUUUGUCUAACUAACGUUUCAUUUGUCCUGUGGCGUGAUAUCAAUCUGUUGGCUAAUAGCUGGUUUGGAAUAUACAUUGCCUGAGCAACAUCAAUGACGAAGUGUUUGAUGGAACCACAACUCUUUAUGGUCCAUUGAAUGAGUCUGUGUUGGUUAGGCAAAUUUAUUCAAUUGGCAUUUCGACUAUUGUUCUCAGCUUAUAGUCAUGCAAGACUAAAAAUUCGUCUUUCG